rnacentral:rRNA from 1 species
GACGAACGCUGGCGGCGUGCCUAAUACAUGCAAGUCGAACGCAGUGGGGACGGGUGAGUAACACGUGGGUAACCUCCCAUCAGAGGGGAUAACACUUGGAAACAGGUGCUAAACCGAUACUGAUGGAUGGACCCGCGGUGUAUUAGCUAGUUGGUGAGGUAACGGGUCACCAAGGCCACGAUGCAUAGCCGGCCGGAGAGGGUGAUCAGCCACACUGGGACUGAGACACGGCCCAGACUCCUACGGGAGGCAGCAGUGGGGAAUCUUCGGCCAUGGACGAAAGUCUGACCUAGCAACGCCGCGUGAGUGAAGAAGGUUUUCGGAUCGUAAAGCACUGUUGUUAGGGAGGCGGUAUCUAACCAGGAAGCCACGGCUAACUACGUGCCAGCAGCCGCGGUAAUAC